rnacentral:rRNA from 1 species
GAUGAACGCUAGCGACAGGCUUAACACAUGCAAGUCGAGGGGCAGCGGGGUAGUGCUUGCACUACUGCCGGCGACCGGCGCACGGGUGAGUAACACGUAUGGAACCUGCCCGCAGCAGGGGGAUAAGCGGAAGAAAUUCCGUCUAAUACCGCGUAACAACGUUGGGAGGCAUCUCCCGAUGUUUAAAGAUUUAUCGGCUGCGGAUGGCCAUGCGGCGCAUUAGCUAGUCGGCGGGGUAACGGCCCACCUAACCGACGAUGCGUAGGGGUUCUGAGAGGAAGGUCCCCCACACUGGUACUGAGACACGGACCAG